UCGAGCGGCAGCGCGGGGCAACCUGGCGGCGAGCGGCGAACGGGUGAGUAAUGCAUCGGAACAUGUCCAUGUCGUGGGGGAUAGCCCGGCGAAAGCCGGAUUAAUACCGCAUACGCCCGAGAGGGGAAAGUGGGGGACCGCAAGGCCUCACGCGAUUGGGUUGGCCGAUGUCCGAUUAGCUAGUUGGUGGGGUAAAGGCUUACCAAGGCGAUGAUCGGUAGCUGGUCUGAGAGGAUGAUCAGCCACACUGGGACUGAGACACGGCCCAGACUCCUACGGGAGGCAGCAGUGGGGAAUUUUGGACAAUGGGGGCAACCCUGAUCCAGCCAUUCCGCGUGAGUGAAGAAGGCCUUCGGGUUGUAAAGCUCUUUUGUCCGGAACGAAACGGGUAAGGCUAAUACCUUUGCCUACUGACGGUACCGGAAGAAUAAGCACCGGCUAACUACGUGCCAGCAGCCGCGGUAAUACGUAGGGUGCGAGCGUUAAUCGGAAUUACUGGGCGUAAAGCGUGCGCAGGCGGUUUUGUAAGCCAGAUGUGAAAUCCCCGGGCUUAACCUGGGAAUGGCAUUUGGGACUGCAAGGCUGGAGUGCGGCAGAGGAGACUGGAAUUCCUGGUGUAGCAGUGAAAUGCGUAGAUAUCAGGAGGAAUACCGAUGGCGAAGGCAGGUCUCUGGGCUGACACUGACGCUCAUGCACGAAAGCGUGGGGAGCAAACAGGAUUAGAUACCCUGGUAGUCCACGCCCUA
rnacentral:rRNA from 1 species